rnacentral:rRNA from 1 species
GAUGAACGCUGGCGGCGUGCCUAACACAUGCAAGUUGAGCGAUUCACUUCGGUGAAGAGCGGCGGACGGGUGAGUAACGCGUGGGUAACCUGCCUCAUACACAUGGAUAACAUACCGAAAGGUAUGCUAAUACAAGAUGACAUAAGAGAUUCGCAUGAAUUUCUUAUCAAAGCUCCGGCGGUAUGAGAUGGACCCGCGUCUGAUUAGCUAGUUGGUAAGGUAACGGCUUACCAAGGCGACGAUCAGUAGCCGACCUGAGAGGGUGAUCGGCCACAUUGGAACUGAGACACGGUCCAAACUCCUACGGGAGGCAGCAGUGGGGAAUAUUGCACAAUGGGCGAAAGCCUGAUGCAGCAACGCCGCGUGAGCGAUGAAGGCCUCGGGUCGUAAAGCUCUGUCCUCAAGGAAGAUAAUGACGGUACUUGAGGAGGAAGCCCCGGCUAACUACGUGCCAGCAGCCGCCGUAAAAC